GAUGAACGCUGGCGGCGUGCCUAAUACAUGCAAGUCGAGCGAACGGACGAGAAGCUUGCUUCUCUGAUGUUAGCGGCGGACGGGUGAGUAACACGUGGAUAACCUACCUAUAAGACUGGGAUAACUUCGGGAAACCGGAGCUAAUACCGGAUAAUAUUUUGAACCGCAUGGUUCAAAAGUGAAAGACGGUCUUGCUGUCACUUAUAGAUGGAUCCGCGCUGCAUUAGCUAGUUGGUAAGGUAACGGCUUACCAAGGCAACGAUGCAUAGCCGACCUGAGAGGGUGGUCGGCCACACUGGAACUGAGACGCGGUCCAUACUCCUACGAGAGGCAGCAGUAGGGAAUGUUCCGCAAUGGGCGGAAGCCUGACGGAGCAACGCCGCGUGAGUGAUGAAGGUCUUCGGAUCGUAAAACUCUGUUAUUAGGGAAGAACAGAUGUGUAAGUAACUGUGCACAUCUUGACGGUACCUAAUCAGAAAGCCACGGCUAACUACGUG
rnacentral:rRNA from 1 species